rnacentral:lncRNA from 1 species
UGGCUUGGGCAAAGUUGGUAGCUCGGGUUUAGGCAAUGCUGGAAUCUCUGGCUUCGGCACAUUUGGCAGCUCAGGUUUUGGCAAUUCAGGAAUCUCAUGCUUUGGAACGGUUGGCAGCUCGGGUUUUGGCAAUUCUGGAACCUCAUGCUUUGGAACGGUUGGCAGCUCAGGUUUUGGCAAUUCUGGAACCUCAGGCUUUGGCACGGUUGGCAGGUCGGGUUUUGGCAAUGCUGGAAUCUCAGGCUUUGGAACGGUUGGCAGCUCAGGUUUAGGCAGUGUUGG